UCAGACACUACUCUAGGUGAACACUCCUCU
rnacentral:piRNA from 1 species